AUGCAGAGACUAACAGCGGCAGGAAGCCCCUUGUCCACCAGGGAAGGAGAAACAACAGGAAAUGUCACAGCUCGGAAUCCAGGAGUGCAACCACGGAGGCCAUGGUAUCUCAGGGGUCUCUGUCAUCGGGCACCCAGGUGCCACGUGUGUUGCUCCACUCCCCACCUCUCGUCUCUCCAGGGUGCAGCAGCCCUUCUGAGAUGGAAGCAAGCCCUGGGACCAACAGCACAACGGCAUAGGACAUGUUCCUCCUGGAGCGUUUAUUGUCUGGGACUUGGCAUGAUACACUGGCCAGGCCUGAAAACCAGAAAGCCACCUGGACCCCUGGAGCCCUCCCCCAGCCCUGACCUCAGAACCACAGGAGGGGCAGCAGCACCCCUCUGCAUCCGCUCUAUGGAAGGGCCUUCAUCCACCUCCAAGAAACUGGUACCUGCUGGCUCUGGCUCUCUCUGCUGCGGUGAUGAGUGUGUGAGCCCAGGGCGCAGGUGACGUCUUCUGGAUACUGGCACACAACGGGAAGCAGCCAGGGGGUCCAGGGCACUCAAGGCUGACAGGGCCAAAGGGAGCCC
rnacentral:lncRNA from 1 species